rnacentral:rRNA from 1 species
UACGUAGGGUGCGAGCGUUUGUCCGGAAUUAUUGGGCGUAAAGAGCUUGUAGGCGGUUUGUCGCGUCUGCUGUGAAAAUCCGGGGCUCAACCCCGGACUUGCAGUGGGUACGGGCAGACUAGGAGUGUGGUAGGGGAGACUGGAAUUCCUGGUGUAGCGGUGAAAGUGCGCAGAUAUCAGGAGGAACACCGAUGGCGAAGGCAGGUCUCUGGGCCAACUACGUGACGCU